GAGCGACUGUGAAGAAUGCAAAGCCAGUGCCAAACUUCGGAACCGAUAGCCCGGGCGGCGUGUUGGCACAGCGAGGAUGAGAACGAGAGACCCGAUAGACACCGAUGACAGCUGUUCACGGCACCGACACAGAGGACAGAUUGCAGUGCAAGAUAGGAGCGGUCUUCCUGCAAGCCCAGACAAGCCAUAUUGAGUGGUAGGAAUCUCUUUUUAUCACUACAAUGGGACAGU
rnacentral:lncRNA from 1 species